GCAUAUCAAUAAGCGGAGGAAAAGAAACUAACAAGGAUUCCCCUAGUAACUGCGAGUGAAGCGGGAAAAGCUCAAAUUUGAAAUCUGGCAGCUUUCCACUGUCCGAGUUGUAAUCUAGAGAAGUGUUACCAGUGCAGGACCGUGUACAAGUCUCCUGGAAUGGAGCAUCACAGAGGGUGAGAAUCCCGUCUUUGACAUGGACUACCUGUGCGUUCAUGGUGUGCUCUCAAAGAGUCGAGUUGUUUGGGAAUGCAGCUCAAAAUGGGUGGUAAAUGCCAUCUAAAGCUAAAUAUUGGCGAGAGACCGAUAGCGAACAAGUACCGUGAGGGAAAGAUGAAAAGUACUUUGGAAAGAGAGUUAAACAGUACGUGAAAUUGCUGAAAGGGAAACGCUUGAAGUCAGUCGCGUUGGCUAGGAAUCAACCCAGCUCCUGCUUGGUGUACUUUCUGGUUGACGGGUCAGCAUCAAUUUUGACCACUGGAUAAAGUCUUUGGGAAUGUGGCAUCCUUGGAUGUGUUAUAGCCCAUAGUCGCAUACGGUGGUUGGGAUUGAGGAGCUCAGCACGCCGCAAAGGCCGGGUUUCGACCACGAUCGUGCUUAGGAUGCUGGCAUAAUGACUUUAAUCGACCCGUCUUGAAACACGGACCAAGGAGUCUAACAUGCCUGCGAGUGUUUGGGUGGAAAAACCCAUGCGCGCAAUGAAAGUGAAAGUUGAGAUCCCCUUCAAACAGGGAGCAUUGACGCCCGGACCAGAGCUUCUGUGACGGAUCCGCGGUAGAGCAUGCAUGUUGGGACCCGAAAGAUGGUGAACUAUGCCUGAAUAGGGUGAAGCCAGAGGAAACUCUGGUGGAGGCUCGUAGCGAUUCUGACGUGCAAAUCGAUCGUCAAAUUUGGGUAUAGGGGCGAAAGACUAAUCGAACCAUCUAGUAGCUGGUUCCUGCCGA
rnacentral:rRNA from 1 species